CAGCCAUUCAGCUCAUCACACAAUUUCUGUUCAUCUUGAGGUGACAAAUUCACGUUCUUAAGUAAAGUUUCCAUAUUUUGAAAAGCAGCAAUAAAUUUUGCUUCCGUCCAAUUUACAAAGUUGCAAUGUGCCCACUCGUUUCUGAUAUCUGAUCGAACUGUCUUUGCAUGAGCAGCAGCUCCUACAAAUGGGGCAGCUUCACAAAUCACUGAUAAGACUGCAGAUAUGUCCAUUGUUUCAUCAAAGCCAGUGAACUUGGACAUGAAUGGCUGAACAAACAACUUUGCCAAAGAUAACGGAUCUGUAACUGCAUAAUUAAAUGCACGAGGUGAUCUAAGGGCAUCAUUGUUGUUGAUAUUUUUAUACUUGAGGUCUAAAGUUGAUGGCUUCAAC